UUAUUUGAGAGUUUGAUCCUGGCUCAGGAUGAACGCUGGCGGCGUGCCUAACACAUGCAAGUUGAGCGAUUUACUUCGGUAAAGAGCGGCGGACGGGUGAGUAACGCGUGGGUAACCUACCCUGUACACACGGAUAACAUACCGAAAGGUAUGCUAAUACGGGAUAAUAUAUUUGAGAGGCAUCUCUUAAAUAUCAAAGGUGAGCCAGUACAGGAUGGACCCGCGUCUGAUUAG
rnacentral:rRNA from 1 species